AUUGCGGACUGGCCUAAAUAAGGACAACUAUAGACACACAUAUUGGAGCGAUUCCUUGCUUCGAGUAGCUAUUAUAUAUGAUCCCACAUUUCUAUAGGCAAAGGACAUUUUUGUAAGGUUUCACACUGGCGCAAACAUAGAGUGACCAGGAGCAUGUGCACAAAGUUGCCGCUUUUAAUGGGAAGAGAUGACACAGGCCUGCAAAGGACAGCUGUGAUCUUCUCCCAUCAAACUCUUGUCACUGCCUUUAAGCCCAACUGAGCUAAUAGGUAUCACCUUCCCACACUUGGGAGAAGGGCGAGGAAUCCAACAAACCUGAAAACCCGGCCUUUCCAUCAGUGAGUUUUCAUCAUGCACACCUUGACAGGCAAGACAUGCGAUGUCCCGCUUCAGUUUCACACCUGACAGGUGAGCAUGAACAGAAGGAGAGGAUGACCUGAACAAAUGUUUGGUGGUCUGCUUGUCUUUGCCCUUAAAAACAACCCUGCGAGGAAGAGCCCAGCCGGUCCCCACUUCUCAAAAGAAACAGGAUCUGCUGCUCCUCCAAAGGGCCAAGAUCCUUCGGAAGAAGAACGCAAAGAGAGAGAGAUACUCCUUCUCAGAGGAGACCAGGCCCUGAGAAAAGCAGCUGGAAGUUCAGAGAGAUGCCUCCUGGGACCUCAGUGGCACCAAAGAUAAACCUUUCCUCGACCAGCCAGGAAUCACAAAUAUGACACACUACAGAUUUGCAAACUGUGUUUUAAUAAAUAAGGCUUUUGCUCAAAGGCUGGUCAGAAGUCCAAACUUGUUCCAGAAUUCCAAAAUAUUUACAUACUCAAUAUACAUACAUAC